CUUUGCAUUCAGUGUGUGACCUCCUACCUCUAUAAGAUAGUGUGCAAGAUGAGUACCAAGCCUUUGCUUCCCCUUAACUUUUCUAGAAGUAACACACAUGCACGUCCUCACACACACACACAUACACUCACAAUUUGUGUAGAAUUAUUUUUCACUCUGAUUUCUGCCUGUGGAACAGAUUGAAGAUUUUACCAUCCAAAACCCACAAAGAGAAAACUCCUACUGUGGUCUUCAGAAUUUCCAUUCAGCUGAUUUGCCUGCCAAGUCCAGUGACCAGUACCGCCGCUCCUGAUGGUGGGGAGCAUAUGGUACUGCUGUGAAUAGUUUUGCUCUCACUGCUGUGAAAUCCCACGCCUUCCUACAGAAUGUGUUUGGAGGAGCAAAUGAUCUCUAAUGAUUUCACUGGAUCCAAAGGAACAGGGCAAUACUGAGUAAGAAACACUUGAUAUACGAAAAAAGCGUGAGUGCGAAGGAAAAUACAUCAUUCUAC
rnacentral:lncRNA from 10 species